AUUGAACGCUGGCGGCAGGCCUAACACAUGCAAGUCGAACGGUAACAGGAAGAUUCUUGCUUCUUUGCUGGCGAGUGGCGGACGGGUGACACAUGUCUGGGAAACUGCCUGAUGGAGGGUGAUAACUACUGGAAACGGUAGCUAAUACCGCAUAACGUCUCAAGCCCAAAGAGGGGUAGCUUCUGGCCUCUUGCCAUCGGAUGUGCCCAGGUGGGAUUAGCUAGUAGGUGGGGUAACGGCUCACCUAGUGGACGAUCGCUAGCGGGUGUGAGAGGAUGCCCAGCCACAGUGGAGCUGAGACACGGUCCAGACUCCUACGGGAGGCAGCGGGGGGGAAUAUUGCACAAUGGGCGCAAGCCUGAUGCAGCCAUGCGGGGGGUAUGAAGAAGGCCUUCGGGUUGUAAAGGACUUUCAGCGGGGAGGAAGGGAGUGAAGUUAAUACCUGUGCUCAUUGACGUUACGGGCGGAAGAAGCACCGCCUAACUCCGU
rnacentral:rRNA from 1 species